rnacentral:lncRNA from 1 species
CCAGGAGACCCUCAGACCAAGCCCGGCCCUUCCUUAGCAGGGAAGCCCCGGGCUCCAACAGACAGCCAUGUGGGGAGCUUCAGGGAACGCAGCCGACGCUCCUGCGGCAGAGAAGGUCCUUGUGGCCCACAAGAAGCCAGCCAGGUGGCUGAGGACAGCAUGAGCGAAGAGGGCUUGGAAUCGGGGCUGGAUUUUGCUGAGAGCCCCGUGGAGGAGUCCCAGGAAACCGAGAGCUGGCGAUCGGGGGAGCAGAGGACGGAGGCCUGUCAGCAGGAGGUCCCCGGCAUCUCCUCCACCUGGCUGGAGGCUGCCCAGGCCGCUGCCUCCCCAGCAGCUCCUGUGGUCCCUGAGGAGGCGGCGCCCCCAAUCCUGCACCAGGGCAGUCCCCUUCUCCCCACCACCUCCUCCUGCGGUCCAGGCUCUGAGUCUGCUUCUGGAACCUGCUGGGGGCCUUCGGAAGAAGCCACGGUGUCAUCCCACACCUCCCCAGCAGGCUCUGUGAGCAGCCUGUCCUGUCCCUCUCUCUGGGAGUUCCAGAAAGCAGCGGCUACCCUGAUCCAGCUUUCUGGGAGCUCCAGCUCUCUUCCCAGCUUGGAAGCUGAAGACUCCCCAGACGAAGGUUUCAGCUGGCCUGGAGAGCUCUCUGCCCGACACUCCUCGGGGGAAGCUGGCCUGCCUUUGUCCUGGCGGUCAAACCAGGGUGAGCCUCGGCCAGGCAGUGCUCCUGGGGGUGGAGGAUGGGUGACCUGGCAGAGGCCCCAGGGCCGCAGGGCCGGCCCCCUGCGUGGCUCCUCCUUGGACACGGCCAUGGCAGAAGUUUCAGCGCCGGAGCAAAGCCCAAAGGCAGGCUGGCUACUGCCUUUCCCAGACAUCCCCUCUCCAAGGUCAGGGUCAGAGCUGUCAGAGGCCUCCAGCAAAGUUUGGGAGGAGGACUGCGAGGAGGACCUGCCAGAACCCUGUACCGGGGCCAAGCCAGCCUCGGGGAGCUCCCUGCCUGCAGGUGGCUCACUGGGCCUUGGAAGCGGCGUGGAGCCCCAGGUGGCUCCUCCCUCCCCACGGUCCGGGGAGGGGCGGGAAGCUUCUGGGACCAGCGAGAGCCUGAAAGGGGGUGUCAGAAGCGGCAUGGAGCCCCAGGUGGCUCUUCCGUCCCCAUGGCCUGGGGAGGGGCUGGAAGCUUCUGGGACCAGCGAGAGCCUGAUGGGGGUGUCAGACACAGGAGAAGCCCUCCAGGCACCCCCUGAGGCCGCCGGUGUGGUGUUCCCGCUGCAAAUCUCUUCUGCCGGUGACUCGGACUCACUGCUGGUCUUUCCUUCGUGGACCUCUUUGAGUGAAGGGGCAGAUUUCGGCAAAGGAGGAGAGACUUCUGGCUACCAGGAGGGAACCCGGGAUGCUGACCCGAGCCCAUCCACCAAGAGCAAACUCCCGUACCUCAUGCCAGAGCCCGAGACCCCGGUGACCCUGCAGGCUCCUCCUGGGGACCCAGGCAGGCUGGCACCUCCAGUAGCUGAGAGCCGGGCGCCUGGGCCUGGUGGGAAUGGGGCCCCCACUGUCCUGGAGGAAGCCUGUCCCCUACUUGCCGGUGACGUCUUGACUGAGAUCCUGUCUCCCGUGGACGAGUUGCUGUCCUACGGCAGUGCCGACCUCCCGUCCUCCAUCCACAGGGAGGCCCCCCUACCCCCACCUCCUCCCACUCCCCAAGCACAGAGUGAUGGUGAAGACACCAACCCAUGCUCGGAUGCCUUCCCUUCCCCGCCCUCGGGGCCCCUUGAGGAGGACACCGCCAUCACCACCCAGGAUUUGUCCUCCUUGUCUGAGGAGAGUCUGCCGGAGGGACUGUUUCCUGGGCCCCAGGGGUCGGCGGGAACCCAGUAGUUGGGGCUCUGCCCAGGGGUGGCUGGUCCGGGUGGAAGCGUUGACGACCAGUUGGGUAGAUGCAGUUCUGCAGCAGGGGAUGAGGCCGGAGGCAGCCAGUGGCCUGAACCUGUCAGCUGGCCAGGGCACUCGUCGUGUGAGGGGUCAGGCAGUGCCCCUGGAGGGCUCCCAGGGCCAUCAGUGCAGCCCCCAGCUCCAUCCAGAGUGGCCUCUGUGGCCAGGGAAGGUCUGUCAGGGCUGUUGGCAGCUGGUGACGUGGAAGUGAUGAUCGGCGGACUGGGCUCCUGUUUUGGGCACAGGGUUCUGGGCUGAUGUGGCCUUUGAGGAGGUCUUGGGCAGUCGGGGAGAGCCCUGGGAAGGAGCGCAGAGCUCUGGGCAUGCAGAGAGCCGGGGUGGGUAGCGGGGCAGCUCUUAGUGGGUCUGGAUGAGCUCCUGGACACUGCCUCACCUGCGGCAGGGUCCCUGGGCAGCCGAGCCUGCUUGGCCAAGACCCCCACCAGGGGCCAAGACCCCAAAGAAAUGCUGGGUAAGAACAGGAAGGCAGCCACACCCCCACAGGCAGCCACACCUCCAUGUCCCUGGUUGGCAGCCCCGGCAGCCUCUCUCCCAGGCCAAGUGCCCUUGGCCGCCAGUGGAAAGUCUGGGUCCCUUGAGCAUGCUGGUGAGGACGUUGAGGGAGGCCUGAGCUGCCAGGUAGAGGACCCACCCAGGCCCGAGGGCUCACUGGGCAGAAAGCCGCUCCUGGAGACAGACUCAGGCCGCUGUACCCAUCUCCCAGGUGUGGAGAGAGACCAGGCAGUGGACUUGGUCUCCACGUGGCUCACCAGGAGGGUCCUGCGUGACUCCUUAGCAGCUCUCUCCACACAGGCCCCCAGGUGCAGCCCCUAGGGAGUGUUUUCUGGAACUACAGAGGUGCACAGGCGUCCACAAUGUCAUUGUGAGCUGUGUGUGGCAUACACAUGCACACGUGGGAGUAAGAACCUAGAGGCCUGGACUUUCCCAGGGUGGACCGGCCGGGCGGCCGGCUGUGCGGGACAGUCUCCUGGACCUUUCCCCGGUGGACCGGGUGGGCGGCCGGCUGUGCAGGAUGGUCGCCUGGACCUUCCCAGGGUGGACCGGGUGGGCGGCCGGCUGUGCGGGACGGUUGCCUGGACCUUCCCCCGGUGGACAGGGUGGGCGGCCGGCUGUGCGGGACGGUUGCCUGGACCUUCCCCUGGUGGACGGGGUGGGCGGCCGGCUGUGCGGGAUGGUCGCCUGGACCUUCCCAGGGUGGACUGGGUGGGCGGCCGGCUCUUCCCAGGGUGGAC